GCAAACGUAGCCAAGUGGACCAAAGCAAUGGAUUGUGAAUCCACCACGCGCGAGUUCAAUUCUCGUCGUUCACC
rnacentral:tRNA from 1 species